rnacentral:rRNA from 1 species
UACGUACUGUGCGAGCGUUAUUCGGAAUCAUUGGGCUUAAAGGGUGCGUAGGCGGCAAUUCAAGUCAGGUGUGAAAUGCCUGAGCUCAACUGAGGCAUUGCGCUUGAAACUGAACUGCUUGAGUAUCCCAGGGGUGUGCGGAACUGCCAGUGGAGCGGUGAAAUGUGUUGAUAUUGGCAGGAACACCGGAGGCGAAAGCGGCACACUGGGGGAUAACUGACGCUGAGGCGCGAAAGCCAGGGGAGCGAACGGG